ensembl:lncRNA novel transcript
GCCUCUGCUGCGGGGGUUGCCGGUGCCACUUCCCCUCUCCACAGCCGUGCGGUGCCCAGCUUAGCUCACGUUCACAGUUCUUUCAGCAGAUGUAGCCGUGGACAGCAGCCUGGUUACAGUGGGAUGUGCAGCUGGCCGACCCCCUCUAGCCAUCCUGCAAGUCACUGUGAACGCCCUCACGCUCCAACAGCAAAGCCACUGCUCAGAAAGAGGCUGGGCUCCUGCACACCUGCCAGCGAUGGCUACCCGUGUCCAUCCUGUUCACUGAAGGGGAGCGGCUCCUGGAGGGUGAAGCCGCUGUGGUUUGAGGGUGAAGCCACUGUCGUUUGAGCCCUCGGCCCGGACGCAGCUGAUGCACCAGCCACAGAAGCACGGAGGAGUCAAGAAUGGGAAGGACAGAAACGGUUCCUGACCUCGGGAGCUGGAGGUUGAGUGGGAACAGCCAUCGCUGGGUUUUUCCCAUAGAAGGAUGAAGACCGCUCUGACGGUGUGGCGCUCCCUCUAGUGGCUGAGAGUCGCUAACUCACCGGCGAGGCUUCCCAAGGCCGGAGGGCGGCUUCUCAAAAGUUUGUUCCAGAGAUGCCUCGUCACCCCUAACACCCUAGUAUACAAUCCAGGAGGCGAAAACUAUUUUGAUCAUACGGAUGAGACCGUGGCUGUAUUAAGAAUGUGUGUGUAAUCCACAGCGGUAUAACGAAAUUUGGAAUAUCUGCGUGACUCCAAACUACUAUUUUCCAAAUGACCGAUGCAUGAUGUUACAAAAUCACAAAUGGUAAAAGAUCCCUUCAAAGUGCAAGAGGGAUGAAGAUAUUUUAAUGUAACAGUGUGCAAAGUUCACUAGUGCAAUCUCAGAUUCCAGAUUGCGACGAAUCUUUAAGAAAUUAGAUUUUUAGUGUAGUGAAAAAGGCUAUUCACAAUUAUCUAGAAAGACUACUAAAAUUAUUCUCUCUUCUUCAACUACACAGCUGCUUGACACAGGUUUUCUUCAUGUAUUUCGAUCCAAAAUGGAAUCACAGCAGAUUAAAUGCAAAAGUACCUAUCCAGCCAUCUUAUCUGAAGCCAGACAUUAAAGAGAUUUGCAAAAAAUAUAAAA